rnacentral:rRNA from 1 species
AGUGAACGCUGGCGGUAGGCCUAACACAUGCAAGUCGAACGGCAGCACAGUAAGAGCUUGCUCUUACGGGUGGCGAGUGGCGGACGGGUGAGGAAUACAUCGGAAUCUACUUUUUCGUGGGGGAUAACGUAGGGAACCUUACGCUAAUACCGCAUACGACCUACGGGUGAAAGCAGGGGAUCUUCGGACCUUGCGCGAUUGAAUGAGCCGAUGUCGGAUUAGCUAGUUGGCGGGGUAAAGGCCCACCAAGGCGACGAUCCGUAGCUGGUCUGAGAGGAUGAUCAGCCACACUGGAACUGAGACACGGUCCAGACUCCUACGGGAGGCAGCAGUGGGGAAUAUUGGACAAUGGGCGCAAGCCUGAUCCAGCCAUACCGCGUGGGUGAAGAAGGCCUUCGGGUUGUAAAGCCCUUUUGUUGGGAAAGAAAAGCAGCAGGUUAAUACCCCGCUGUUCUGACGGUACCCAAAGAAUAAGCACCGGCCAACUUCGUG